rnacentral:rRNA from 1 species
UGGUUGAUCCUGCCAGUAGUGUAUGCUUCUCCUAAAGACUAAGCCAUGCAUGCCUUCGAAUACGAGGAAGCAAUUCUCUCUGAAUCUGCGAACGGCUCCGCACACCAGUUGUAAACCAAAGCAAGCUAGCCCAUGACCUGACCCUCACGGGAUGGGACGUGGGCGAUACGGAUAACCCUGGUAAUUCUGAGGCUAAUACGAGACUACAAUCCCUGGCUAACCGCAAGGAAGGCCGGGGGGCGUGCAAAAGUUUCGCGAGGAAUAAUCAGGAGGGAGUGCACGCUCUGACCACGACAAAGACAGUUCCGGCAAAUCUUCGGAGGAGUUGGUUCUGAGUGGCUCUUGCGAGGUGCUUCUGACCUAUCAACUAGAUGGCAGCCUAAAGGACAUGCCAUGGUUACAACGGGUACAGAGGAUUAGGGUUCGAUCCUGGAGAGUGGGCCUGAGAGAUUGCUCAUACUUCUAAGGAAGGCAGCAGGCGCGCAACGUUCCCCUUGGACAAUGUCCGAGGGCGUUAGGGGACAUAUGAAUGGUUGCCUUAUAGGUGGCCAAUUCAAAUGGGUCUGUUCUAAACAGUCUCUCGAGUAACAAUUAGAGGACAAGUC